rnacentral:tRNA from 1 species
GCCCAGGUGGCUCAGUCAGUUAAGCAUCUGACUCUUGAUCUCAGGUCAGGUCUUGAUCUCAGGGUCGUGAGUUCAAGCCCCAUUUUGGGCU